GCCUAACACAUGCAAGUCGAGCGAGAAAGCCCGCAAGGGUGAGUACAGCGGCGCACGGGUGCGUAACACGUGGGUAAUCUGCCUCGAAGUCUGGAAUAACUCCCCGAAAGGGGUGCUAAUGCCGGAUGAGACCACGGGAGCCGAGGCUCCCGAGGGAAAAGAUGGCCUCUGCAUGCAAGCUAUCGCUUCGAGAUGAGCCCGCGGCCCAUCAGCUUGUUGGCGGGGUAACGGCCCACCAAGGCUACGACGGGUAGCUGGUCUGAGAGGACGAUCAGCCACACUGGAACUGAGACACGGUCCAGACUCCUACGGGAGGCAGCAGUGGGGAAUCUUGCGCAAUGGGCGAAAGCCUGACGCAGCAACGCCGCGUGUGUGAUGAAGGUCUUCGGAUCGUAAAGCACUGUCGGGAGGGACGAAUAAGGGCCGGGCUAACAUCCCGGUCCGAUGACGGUACCUCCAAAGGAAGCACCGGCUAACUCUGUGCCAGCAGCCGCGGUAA
rnacentral:rRNA from 1 species